GUGCAGUACUGCUAACCUGGGAGAGGCCAGUGGGAAGGUGGGUGGCUGCUGGCUGGCAGCCCUCUCUCAGUGGUUAGGGAGCAGCUUGGGCCUCUGCACUGUGUUGGAAACUCCUUGCAUGCUGAAUUGCAGGCCCUGAGUGACUGACUGAGACCUCAGGGAGAUAUAGGGUCAGCAUUAUUUGUGAGAGCAAUUGAUCGUUUGCAGGGCCUGGUUAGCCAUUUCUGUAGACAAAUGAGAGCAUUUUCUUGCAGCUGAGCUGGAUGCUUAAGGGGAGUUGAGUAGAAACAAUCCCAAUACAAGUCUACUCAUUCACACCCACACACACCCACACACACCCAUACACACUCACACACACCCAUACACACACACACUCACACACACCCAUACACACACACACACCCAUACACACCCACACACACCCAUACACACUCACACACACCCAUACACACUCACACACACCCAUACACACACACCCAUACACACACACACACACCCAUACACACACACACACACCCAUACACACUCACACACACCCAUACACACUCACACACACCCAUACACACACACACACCCAUACACACCCACACACACCCAUACACACUCACACACACCCAUACACACACACACCCAUACACACACACACUCACACACACCCAUACACACACACACACACCCAUACACACACACACACACACCCAUACACACCCACACACACCCAUACAUACUCACACACACCCAUACACACACACACACACCCAUACACACACACUACACACACUCACAUCUCCACACACUACACAUACACUCACAGCUUCACACACUACACACACCCACACACUCACACCCACAAACUCAGACUCCACAAACCCACAUGCACUCACACCUCCACACACUACACACACAUACUCACACCUCCACACACUACACACACACACUCACACCUCCACACACUACACAUACACUCACAGCUUCACACACUACACAUCUACCCACUCACACACACACACACACAUUCAGACCCCACACACCCACACACACUCAUAUACUCACAUCUCCACACACUACACACACCCACACACUCACAUACACACUACACACACACUCAUACCUUCAUACACUAUACACACCCACACACCCACACACACCACACACACACCCCUCACAAACACCACACACAGUCAUACACCACACACUCACACAUACCACAUCCCUACACUUCCAUACCCACACACCCCACACACACACCCCACAACACACCACACACACACCACAUCCCAUACAUACCCUACACACUCACACACAUACCACAUGCAUACAGCACAUAUACACUCACGUAUACACACACUCUCAUACACACACACCACACACACCACACAUCCCAUACACACACACACACUCACUCAGAUGGUGAAAGCAAGCAGUGUUCAUGGUCAUCUCUCC
rnacentral:lncRNA from 1 species